GUCGUGAGAUGUUGGGUUAAGUCCCGCAACGAGCGCAACCCUUGUCCCUAGUUGCUACGCAAGGGCACUCUAGGGAGACUGCCGGUGACAAACCGGAGGAAGGUGGGGAUGACGUCAAGUCCUCAUGGCCCUUAUGGGUAGGGCUUCACACGUCAUACAAUGGCCGGUACAGAGGGUUGCCAACGCGCGAGCGGGAGCCAAUCCCAGAAAGCCGGUCGUAGUCCGGAUUGCAGUCUGCAACUCGACUGCAUGAAGUCGGAAUCGCUAGUAAUCGCGGAUCAGCAUGUCGCGGUGAAUACGUUCCCGGGUCUUGUACACACCGCCCGUCACACCAUGGGAGCGGGAUGUACCAGAAGUAGGUAGGCUAACCGCAAGGGGGCCGCUUACCACGGUGCGUUUCGUGACUGGGGUGAAGUCGUAACAAGGUAGCCGUAUCGGAAGGUGCGGCUGGAUCACCUCCUUUCUUGGAGUCGAAGCCAACACGGGUUCGAGCGGAGGGUUGCGUAAGCGAUCCGAAGUUUGAGUCGUGCUGCGUUUCCAACUCACUGUCUUGAGUGCUCACGCUUAUCGGUUGUUUGUGGUCUGGGCCUGUAGCUCAGUUGGUUAGAGCACCGUCUUGAUAAGGCGGGGGUCGAUGGUUCGAAUCCAUCCAGACCCACCAGUUUCGGCGGUUGGUGAGGGCCGACGCAGUGAGAGGGGCUGUAGCUCAGUUGGGAGAGCACCUGCUUUGCAAGCAGGGGGUCGUCGGUUCGAUCCCGUCCAGCUCCACCAACCUGGUGACAGGAAACAGAAGAAGGCAGCAGCAAGCGAAUGGCAGGUGAAUGACGUUUGCUACUGGCUUUUUAGCUAGACAACUUCGGUUGUGCUCUUUAACAAAACGGAAGAAGUAAAGUGUCUUGCUCGGGAGAGCAGGUGGAUGCGUGAGCGUCGAUCUGAACAACGAGCGAGACUGGGUUAGAUUGUAUCGAGCCUAUUGGGUCUUAGUCGGAGCCAAUGGGAGAGCACGAACACCUGUAGUGCGCGCAUGAGAAGUGCGUAGCGUUAUGGGGUCAAGCGACUAAGUGCAUGUGGUGGAUGCCUUGGCGAUCACAGGCGAUGAAGGACGUGGCAGCCUACGAAAAGCUCCGGGGAGCUGGCAAACGAGCAUUGAUCCGGAGAUGU
rnacentral:sRNA from 1 species